rnacentral:rRNA from 1 species
GCACAUCAAUAAGCGGAGGAAAAAGAAACCAACAGGCGAUCUGCCCCUAGUAACCGGCGAGUGAAGCGGCAACAGCUCAAAUUUGAAAUCUGGCUCUCGGGCCCGAGUUGUAAUUUGUAGAGGAUGUUUCUGGCGACGUGUCUUCCGAGUUCCCUGGAACGGGACGCCAUAGAGGGUGAGAGCCCCGUCCGGUCGUACGCCUAGCCUCUGUGAAACUCCUUCGACGAGUCGAGUAGUUUGGGAAUGCUGCUCAAAAUGGGAGGUAUACGUCUUCUAAAGCUAAAUACCGGCCAGAGACCGAUAGCGCACAAGUAGAGUGAUCGAAAGAUGAAAAGCACUUUGAAAAGAGGGUUAAAUAGUACGUGAAAUUGCUGAAAGGGAAGCGCUCAUGACCAGACUUGGGCUCGGUGAAUCAUCCGGCGUUCUCGCCGGUGCACUUUGCCGGCCCAGGCCAGCAUCAGCUCGCCUCGGGGGAUAAAGGCUUCGGGAAUGUAGCUCCCUCGUGGAGUGUUAUAGACCGUUGCGUAAUACCCUGGGGCGGGCUGAGGUACGCGUUCUGCAAGGAUGCUGGCGUAAUGGUCAUCAGUGACCCGUCUUGAAACACGGACCAAGGAGUCGUCUUCGUAUGCGAGUGUUCGGGUGUCAAACCCCUACGCGUAAUGAAAGUGAACGUAGGAGAGAGCUUCGGCGCAUCUCCGACCGAUCCUGAUGUUCUCGGAUGGAUUUGAGUAAGAGCAUACGGGGCCGGACCCGAAAGAAGGUGAACUAUGCCUGUAUAGGGUGAAGCCAGAGGAAACUCUGGUGGAGGCUCGCAGCGGUUCUGACGUGCAAAUCGAUCGUCAAAUAUGGGGCAUGGGGGGCGAAAGACUAAUCGAACCUCUCUAGUACCUCGGU